UUCAUUGUCGAUUAUCAUUGC
ensembl:piRNA 21ur-2820 ncRNA